GUUCACUAGUUUUGUACUCACAAAUGUGGCCUCCACAUGUGGCUCUCACUAGGAUUACAUCACUCUUUCAGUAGGUAGGUAUUCCAGGAGUUGAAUAAAUUUUCAUGUAAAAGUUCAGAACUUGAAGUCUGUAUCUUUUGAAAAAUGUCACUGACAAAACAUUUCCAUAACCAAUCUUUGUAGUGGGUCCAGUGAGCUGUGAGGAGACGUUU
rnacentral:misc_RNA from 1 species